rnacentral:rRNA from 1 species
GACGAACGCUGGCGGCGUGCUUAACACAUGCAAGUCGAACGAUGAAGCCGGAGCUUGCUCCGGUGGAUUAGUGGCGAACGGGUGAGUAACACGUGAGCAAUCUGCCCUUGACUCUGGGAUAACUGCGGGAAACUGUAGCUAAUACCGGAUACGACACCUUGGUGCAUCCCAGGGUGUGGAAAGAAUUUCGGUCAAGGAUGAGCUCGCGGCCUAUCAGCUAGUUGGUGAGGUAAUGGCUCACCAAGGCGACGACGGGUAGCCGGCCUGAGAGGGUGACCGGCCACACUGGAACUGAGACACGGUCCAGACUCCUACGGGAGGCAGCAGUGGGGAAUAUUGCACAAUGGGCGAAAGCCUGGUGCAGCAACGCCGCGUGAGGGAUGAAGGCCUUCGGGUUGUAAACCUCUUUUAGCAGGGAAGAAGCGAAAGUGACGGUACCUGCAGAAAAAGCACCGGCUAACUACGUGCCAGCCGCCGCGGUAA